rnacentral:rRNA from 1 species
CGGGGGUGGAGUAACGCGUGGAUAACCUGCCUCACACUGGGGGAUAACAGUUAGAAAUGGCUGCUAAUACCGCAUAAGCGCACAGUACCGCAUGGUACGGUGUGAAAAACUACCGGUGGUGUGAGAUGGAUCCGCGUCUGAUUAGUUAGUUGGCGGGGUAACGGCCCACCAAGACAGCGAUCAGUAGCCGACCUGAGAGGGUGACCGGCCACAUUGGGACUGAGACACGGCCCAA